GCUGUAGCUCCAUGGUAAGAGCAUCUGCUUUGCAAUCUGAAGGUCCCUGGUUCAAUCCCCAGCAUCUCUA